CAGAUUUUAGUUUCAUUGAGUCUAAUAUUUUUUGACUCAAGGGCUGUUUUUAGUAUAGAUGCCUGCCACUACUUUCCCGUGUGUGUGCUGGCUAUUAUCCCCUUUAUAGGGAGUGUGAUUGGUGUUGUAGUGACUUAGAUAUAUGUUUAUAUGUGUAUUGUAUAUAUAUAAUGGCCAUCCUAACAAAUGUGAAGUGAUAGUCUAUUAUAGUUGUGGUUGCAUUUCCCUGAUGAUUAGUGAUGUUGAGUACCUUUUUAUAUUCCUUUUAGGUGUUUGCAUAUCUUCUUUGGAAAAAUGUCUUAAGUUUCUUUGCCCAUUUUAAAUUGGGUUAUUUGGCUUUUUGCUAGAGAUAUAAAAGUUCCCUAUAUAGUUUGGACAUUUGGUUUGUGAAUAAUUUCUCCCAUUCCACAGAUAUCCAAACUGGGAUAGUCAGUCACCUUUCCAAUGCCCAUAUGAAGCUUUACUGAAAACAUUAAGAUAUAUAUGAGUUCAGUCUUUGCAAAGGACGUCCCACCUGGCCAGUCUUGUGCUCAAGAGCCAUCUACUAGUAACCCCAGAAAAAUUUGUCUUAGGGAACUCUGUCUCAUGGACCAAUACUUCAGAAAAAGACCACAACCUAUACCAUAAUCCUUAUAGCCACUAGAGAAAACAUGAUUAAGUGCUAUCUCUGAGGACAUAACCAUAGAACACUGUGUCUGACUCAAGUAGUCUUUUUUUUUUUUUUUACUUAGUGGACAGCACUUUGAGUACAAAGUGGUUUUUUUUGUUGUUUUUUGGGUUUUUUUUUGUUUUUUUUUUUUUUUUUUGUCUUUUCAGGGCCAAACCUGCAGCACAUGGAAGUUCCCAGUCUAGGAGUCUAAUCGGAGCUGUAGCCGCCAGCCUACACCACAGCCACAGCAACUCAGAAUCCAAGGUGCAUCUGCAACCUACACCACAGCGCAUGGCAACGCUGGAUCCUUAACCCACUGAUCGAGGCCAGAGAUCGAACACACAACCUCAUGGUUCCUAAUUGGUUUCAUUUCUGCUGCACUAUGAUGGGAACUGCUGAGUAUAAAGAUUUUUGUUUAUUUACUUAUUUUUGGCUGCGUCACAGCAUAUAGAAGCUCCUGGGCCAGGGACUGAAUCUAAGCCACAGGUGUGACCUAUGCCCCAGCUGUGGCAAUGCUGGAUCCUUAACCUCCUGUGACGCAGCAGGAACUCCAGGUUUCAUAUUUUUUAAAAAAGAUAUUUUCAACUUUUCUUGAAAUAUUGGAUGUUCUGAUAAUAUUGGUCUAAGCUCUUACAUGCCAUAAAUCUAUUCCAUCUGAGAGUAGCAACUUAUUACCUCAACUGGGGCAUUUGUUUCCAAAUCGUUAUAUUCUCCACAAGAUCAAUUUUACACUUUCCCUCACCUGCGCCCUGCAGGCCAUUGAGUUUACAACCUAUUCUUUAGUUGAAGAGGAUACAGAGAAAGGAAGACAUGCUUCAGAAAUGAAUGAUUCAGAUUUCAGUUCUGCAACUGGCCAGUUUCUUAGUAAACUUUCAGAAUUUUAUCCACUUCCUGUUUGAAAAUCCAGGAAUCAGACAAUUUCACUGUCAUUAGAACAUAAACAUGAGUUUGAAAAUAUAUAAAUGACCUUGUUUGAAAGAAAACAAUAAAAGAGAGCUAUUAUCAAUUCUACUUCAAAUACAAACUCAUAAAAAGUGAUAUCAGAUUUGUGGUCACCAGAGGGGAGGGAGUGGCGAAGGGGGAAUUGGAUGAACACAGUUAAAAGGUACAAACUUACAGUAAUGAGAUAAAUUAGGACUAGGGAUGUAAUGUAUAUCUUGAUAAAUAAAAUGAACACUGUUCUACAUAUUAUAUAGGAAAGGUAAGAGUAAAACCUGAGUUCUUAUCGCAAGGAAAAAUAUUUAAUUUUGUAUCUAUAUAAGAUGAUUGAAUGUUUACUAAACUUACUGUGAUAAUCAUUUCAUGAUGUAAGUUGAAUCAUUAUGCUGUAUACCUAAAACUUAGUGCCCUAAGCCAUUUCUUUCUCAAUAAAACUGGCUGAAAAGAGACCCUAGAUCUAAAUUGUACUUAAUUGUAUGGUAUAGAUCCCAGAUACUCAACAAAACAAAUAUGCAUUAUUUAGCUUAAAGAAUAUAUUUUUCAAGUGUUGAGGCAAAGGAGAGAGGGAAGUGUAUGCUAAGAAGAAAGUCAAUAUUGUCUCUUAAGAGGAAAAAAAAAAACAGAAAUGUCAUUUCCUUUUCUAAACCUUCAUUAGAUGAUAGGGAAUCAGUAACACUUGCGUUACCUAGAUUAGCUUCUUAUCCAAAAGCCCAAGAGUCAUGUAUAGCGAUGAUCUUAGAUCAAAAAAGUAUAUCUUACAUUAGUUACUCUGCUUCUCCACACUGAUUUCUUUUCAAGUGGCAGCUGUCUUGAAUUUACUCUCGCAUACAUUUAACUUAAUGCUAAGUGAAAUCAGAUGAGGAAAUAAAAUCAUAUCAUUGUAAAAAGAUCUCAAAACCUGCACAAGUCUUUAAACCUUGUUACAGGCCUUACUUUGGCUUUCUAAAGUCUAACUCAAAGCAAAUAAUCUUACUGUGUUAUGUUUUUAUUUUUUUAAUUUACUCUGAGGUUCAUAUACGUAUAUAUUAUAUACGUACUUCCAACAGCAAUCAGAAUUAAAGUCACUAUUUACAAAUUCUUCAGAGUAGACUUUAAAUAGAUCUUUUUUUAUUGACUACAGUGUAAGCCAAAGGUUGUAGACAGAUGUUCUAACAGACAACUUUUAAAUAUGUAUUUCAAUGAAUUUGAGUAAGAAGAAGUGAACACUCCAUUCACAAAGUUGUCAGUAUUCUCUAUUUUCAUAAGUUGGUUUUCCAUCUCUCACCUCUUUUACCUUAUGUCCCCAAAGGCAUGUGAGUCUGGGACCCCUGAAUUGUCAACAUGUCUACUAACAUAGAAUUUGCCACAACUAAAUUAAUACCAGAUUCAGAAAGAGAGCAAAAACUAUUCUGUAAUUUUUUUAAUUUUUUCUGUUUUUUAGGGCCACACCCACAACAUCUGGACAUACCCAGGAUAGGGUCAAAUUGGAGCUGUAGCUGCCAGUCUACACCAUAGCCACAGAAAUGCCAGAUAUGAGCCACCUCUGUUGACCUAUACCAUGGCUCACGGCAAUGCUGGAUCCUUUAACCCACUGAGCAGUGCCAGGGAUCAAACCCAUGUUCUCAUGGAUAAUAGUUUGGUUUGUUUCUGCUGAGCCACAAUGGAAACUCUUGUAAUCUUUAAUUUAGAAAGAAAUUCAUGGAUUUCAAGAAACAGACUGUGUCUGGAUUUUUAUUGACACAUGCCCAAGCUGAGAUAUUUCAGGAAAGUUAGAGAGAUGGCUUGGAGACAGUGGUUCUCAAACUUGAGCAAUUGCGCAUCUGAGUCACCUGGAAAACUUGUAAAAAUACCACUUGUUGGGCACUACCCCCAAAGUUUCUUAUUAAAUAGCCUUUGCAUUCUAACAGGCUUCCAGGUGAUAUUGAUACUACUUGCUCAGAGACCAAAUUUUGAGAAUUACUGAGUAAGAUAUACCCGUAGACUUGACAUAGUUUUAAAAGGAAGGACAAUUUUUUGGUCAAGUUUCUCUUUUAGGACACAUACACAUAUAGCCACUCAGACUUUAUUUUCUUUACUAAAUAUUAAAAUUCCUUUAGAUAGACCCUAGUGGUAACAAUAGUGAUGGUGGUAAGUUACUGGAAAACAAUAAAUAAGAUUUAGAAGGAUGGAGAGAGAUGGGUUAGGAAGGUGGUUUGAGGGUUAGACCUUAUACUCACAGAAUACACUGACUUGAGAGAGACCAUUCUCGAGCCAGACAGCAUGAACAAUAUUAUAGCUUUGGCAGUUCCUUUUGUGGCUCAGCAGGUUAAGAACCAGACAUAGUAUCUGUGAGGAUGCGAGUUCAACCCCUGGCCUCACUCAGUGGAUUAGGAUCUGGUGUUGCCUCAAGCUGAGAUGCGGGUUGCAGAUGCAGCUCCAAUUUAACCCCUAGACCAGGAACUUCCAUAUGCUACAGAUGCAG
rnacentral:lncRNA from 1 species